rnacentral:misc_RNA from 1 species
UGAAUCAUAGUGUUGGCCAGUUCAGUCUGAUUCUACAAUAGAAUUUGUGAUUCCAAAACUGUUUCCAAUUUCGUUAUUUAAAACCGUGAUCUUGUCAUUAUUAAAUGAUGAAAAAUGGCCUUUCUACAGAUGAAUAACUCUUUGGAAGCAAUGAAACCUAUUUGAUGUGUUCUUUUCUGUCCAUAUGCGUGCGACUCUAUUUUGUUCCAUCUUUGGUUUUUCACCAUUUUGUCCAUUUGAUAGAACUUCAUAAUCGUUCAAAUAUUAAAAUCUUUCUUGUCAUUUUGGGCUUGAUUUUAUUUGAAUGGAACUUCUUUCCUGUUAUUCUUUGGUUUCCUUAUCAACUUG